rnacentral:rRNA from 1 species
UACGAAGGUCCCGAGCGUUAUCCGGAUUUAUUGGGUUUAAAGGGUGCGUAGGCGGAUUAUUAAGUCAGUGGUGAAAGCCUUCAGCUUAACUGAAGAAUUGCCAUUGAUACUGAUGAUCUUGAGUACGAUUGAGGUAGGCGGAAUGUGUCAUGUAGCGGUGAAAUGCUUAGAUAUGACACAGAACACCGAUUGCGAAGGCAGCUUACUAAGUCGUAACUGACGCUGAUGCACGAAAGCGUGGGGAGCAAACAGG